AACAGUGAGUCUCGCGUUC
rnacentral:miRNA from 1 species